rnacentral:rRNA from 1 species
GACGAACGCUGGCGGCGUGCCUAAUACAUGCAAGUCGAACGCAGUGGGGACGGGUGAGUAACACGUGGGUAACCUCCCAUCAGAGGGGAUAACACUUGGAAACAGGUGCUAAACCGAUACUGAUUGAUGGAGCCGCGGUGCAUUAGCUAGUUGGUGAGGUAACGGCUCACCAAGGCGACGAUGCAUAGCCGACCUGAGAGGGGGAGCGGCCACACUGGGACUGAGACACGGCCCAGACUCCUACGGGAGGCAGCAGUGGGGAAUAUUGGGCAAUGGACGAAAGUCUGAUCGAGCAACGCCGCGUGAGUGAAGAAGGUCUUCGGAUUGUAAAACUCUGUUGUUAGAGAAGCGGUAUCUACCCAGAAAGCCACGGCUAACUACGUGCCAGCCGCCGCGGUAAUAC